rnacentral:lncRNA from 1 species
AAACAGACAGUAAGCCCAAAAACCUGGGGCAAAUCAUCUGCUUAAAUUUACAACCAAAAAAAAAAAAACUUUCUAAUAUUGUUAUAAAAUUCAAUCUUAAUAACUCUAUCACCCUGUUUAACUUUUGACAAAUGAAGAUGAGCACUACUAUCCUUAUAGAUCAAUAAGAAAUAUUAUUCAAACGAAAUGCAGUACAACCAGCCAGGGUCACAAUACAUCAAGAAGCAGAUUUCCCUGCACAAGAAGCAUGACAGAAACUCAAAAACAAGUCAAUUUCAAGCUAAAAAGGAGCUGAGCACCCUACACGAUAUAAAUUACAAAGAAACUCUCCUAUUUGUUUCUUGGCCAUUUCCAUACAAAAUUCUCUGCUCAAGUAUAUUGAUGACAUUUAGGAAUACAGACCUGCAUCCC